rnacentral:rRNA from 1 species
GAUGAACGCUGGCGGCGUGCCUAAUACAUGCAAGUCGAGCGAACAGACGAGGAGCUUGCUCCUCUGACGUUAGCGGCGGACGGGUGAGUAACACGUGGAUAACCUACCUAUAAGACUGGGAUAACUUCGGGAAACCGGAGCUAAUACCGGAUAAUAUAUUGAACCGCAUGGUUCAAUAGUGAAAGACGGUUUUGCUGUCACUUAUAGAUUGAUCCGCGCCGCAUUAGCUAGUUGGUAAGGUAACGGCUUACCAAGGCAACGAUGCGUAGCCGACCUGAGAGGGUGAUCGGCAACACUGGAACUGAGACACGGUCCAGACUCCUACGGGAGGCAGCAGUAGGGAAUCUUCCGCAAUGGGCGAAAGCCUGACGGAGCAACGCCGCGUGGGUGAUGAAGGUCUUCGGAUCGUAAGACUCUGUUAUUAGGGAAGAACAAAUGUGUAAGUAACUAUGCACGUCUUGACGGUACCUAAUCAGAAAGCCACGGCUAACUACGUG